UGGGGAAUCUUGGACAAUGGGGGCAACCCUGAUCCAGCCAUGCCGCGUGAGUGAAGAAGGCCCUAGGGUCGUAAAACUCUUUCGCCUGUGAUGAUAAUGACAGUAGCAGGUAAAGAAACCCCGGCUAACUCCGUGCCAGCAGCCGCGGUAAUACGGAGGGGGUUAGCGUUGUUCGGAAUUACUGGGCGUAAAGCGCACGUAGGCGGAUUAGAAAGUUAGAGGUGAAAUCCCGGGGCUCAACCCCGGAACUGCCUUUAAAACUACUAGUCUAGAGUUCGAGAGAGGUGAGUGGAAUUCCGAGUGUAGAGGUGAAAUUCGUAGAUAUUCGGAGGAACACCAGUGGCGAAGGCGGCUCACUGGCUCGAUACUGACGCUGAGGUGCGAAAGUGUGGGGAGCAAACAGGAUUAGAUACCCUGGUAGUCCACACCGUAAACGAUGAAUGCCAGUCGUCGGGUAGUAUACUAUUCGGUGACACACCUAACGGAUUAAGCAUUCCGCCUGGGGAGUACGGUCGCAAGAAUA
rnacentral:rRNA from 1 species